rnacentral:rRNA from 1 species
CCUACGGGAGGCAGCAGUGGGGAAUAUUUGGCAAUGGGCGCAAGCCUGACCCAGCAACGCCGCGUGAAGGAAGAAGGCUCUCGGGUUGUAAACUUCUUUUAUCAGGGACGAAGCAAGUGACGGUACCUGAUGAAUAAGCCACUGCUAACUACGUGCCAGCAGCCGCGGUAAUACGUAGGUGGCAAGCGUUAUCCGGAUUUACUGGGUGUAAAGGGCGUGUAGGCGGGAAAGCAAGUCAGAUGUGAAAACCAUGGGCUCAACCUGUGGCCUGCAUUUGAAACUGUUUGUCUUGAGUACUGGAGGGGCAGACGGAAUUCCUAGUGUAGCGGUGAAAUGCGUAGAUAUUAGGAGGAACACCGGUGGCGAAGGCGGUCUGCUGGACAGCAACUGACGCUGAGGCGCGAAAGCGUGGGGAGCAAACAGGAUUAGAUACCCCAGUAGUC